AUGCCUUCCAAUGUCACCAGCUCUUUGAUAAGUUUAAUGAUCCUAGCCCCACAGGAAAUUCUUCCAAAUUGCAACAGUUUGUCAGGCUCCAUAAUAAUUGGAAGCAUCAUGGAAGUUUCAUCCUACAUUUCUUUCAGACUCCUGGUGAGUUUCAGCAAGUGUUUGAGAAGGACUUUUUCACACCUAACGGUUUUCCUGAUAGUGAAAGAUUUUAACUUCAUUCAUAUUGUAUUUCUAUGUGGGCCACUAUGUUUGUGGAAUGUGUCUACUACAAGAUUUGUAGGCAAUCUUUUAAUUUUAUGA